UAUAAAAACAUUUCCAUCUGUUAUGAAUAGAUGGUAGCGCCUGCCCAAUGUUAUUAUCAAUGGCCGCAGUAUUCUGACUGUGCUAAGGUAGCAUAAUUAGUUGCCUCAUAAUUAGGGGAUUGUUUGAAUGGUUUAACCAGGUGAGUUUGCCUAGAUAGGGGCUUUAUUCGAAAUUGAUUUCCUGGUGCAGAGUCCAGGGAUUUGUAAUAAGACGGAAAGACCCCGAGAGCUUGAUAAUUACUUAUUUACUUGGGGCAAGGGCGUAUCUUUUAUAUGCUUUGCGAUCCUUAAGGAUAGAGGUUUAAGUUACCUCGGGGAUAACUAGGUAAGAAACGAGGAGAGAUCAUAUCGGUUCGUUUGUU
rnacentral:rRNA from 1 species